CGAUCUGGCAGCACUGCGGGCAGCCAGUCAUCAUAAAUACGAACAGAUUGGAAAAGUUACAAGAAUUGCGUAUUAUCUGUGGCAUUACGAGAUUGAACUUUCUAAAAGCCAACUAGCCGUAACUUAAAUAGCUGCAAACAUGUCCUACGCGUACUUGUUCAAAUACAUCAUUAUCGGCGACACAGGCGUGGGCAAGUCCUGCCUGCUGCUCCAGUUCACCGACAAGCGAUUCCAGCCUGUGCACGACCUGACCAUCGGCGUGGAGUUCGGAGCACGCAUGAUCACCAUCGACGGCAAGCAGAUCAAGCUGCAGAUCUGGGACACAGCUGGCCAGGAGGCCUUCAGAUCCAUCACACGCUCUUACUACCGUGGAGCCGCCGGCGCCCUGCUGGUGUACGACAUCACGCGGCGGGAGACCUUCAACCACCUGACCACCUGGCUCGAGGAUGCGCGCCAGCACUCCAACUCGAACAUGGUGAUCAUGCUGAUCGGCAACAAGAGCGACUUGGACUCGCGGCGCGAGGUGAAGAAGGAGGAGGGCGAGGCCUUUGCCCGCGAGCACGGGCUGGUCUUCAUGGAGACGUCGGCGCGCACGGCGGCCAAUGUGGAGGAGGCGUUCAUAAACACGGCCAAGGAGAUCUACGAGAAGAUCCAGGAGGGUGUCUUCGACAUCAACAAUGAGGCAAACGGCAUCAAGAUCGGCCAACAGCACUCGCCCACAAACCCGUCGCUGCCAGGAGCCGGAGGAGCAGCUGGAGCAGCAAACAGUGGCUGCUGCUAGGAGUAAACUGCAGAUGCCCGAUUGCAAUUCUGGGAUAGACGUAGCCGCUUCUGUAAAAGCUACUUUAGUGACUAACUAAUAGAAGUGAGGUCCAGCCCUGCAAACGCUGCGCCACGCCCCUUUUUGCAAUGGGUAUCUGCUCCUCUUCUAUAACAUAAAUACAUAAUAACAUAUAUGAAUACUUUUACUUUUUCUUCUCAACGCAUUUGCUUUGUCUAUAUUUUGUUGUGCAAUCCGCUUUAGUCUUUAUAAACACCCUACACUAGAAAAAAAGAAAACGUACUUUAACAAAAUAUACAAAACAAGAUGUGAGCUGAAAUGGGAUUAUAUAAUUUACACACUCAACAUGCAUUAACAGUGGAUUCACGAAAAUGCUGCGAUUCAAUGAUCAAUUUAGUAUUUUACGAAGUUUAUAUAUUUAAAUUAAAUUAAAGGCGAAAGCUAAGACAAAACGAAAGAUACAACUGUAAACGUAAAUCAAAUUAUUUAUAAUAUUUGUAUUUGCCCAACACAAUGCAGAAUAAUAAAUAUACAUACAUACUAAA